GUCAUGUUAUGGAGGGGUGGACCUACCGCCGAAAUUUAAAAGGCCAUACGGUCUCUUCACGAAAACAUUAUAAGAUCAACAUGUGAGAAUACGUUAAUAAUACUUUUCUUUAUUUUACUCUAUGCAUAUAUAAAACACGAUUAUACAUUUAUAUAAAACAAGGAGUUCAAAACUGAAAUGCAGGUUUCUCCUUGGUCUUUUACUGGACAUUGAGAGUUCCAUCCUCCCAGCUGUUCUGGUUCACUACCAGGUCAUCUUCCUCUUUCAUGCUGUUCAGCAGAUAUUUAAUCCCUGCCUUCACACUUGUUUUUAAACCAGCCCCCAACGCAUAACCGGCAACCCCUGCGGUUCCCCCUGUUGCGGCCAUGAGGGCGUCUGUGCCCAGAUCCACAGUACUGAAGAUGGCUCUCUCUUUUGCAGUGUCAUAGCAGCUGACCGAAGCAUAGUAAACAGCUGUUCCCAGAUUAUACAGUGUGGAGACUGCUGGAAUCCACUCCACUACUGUAUACACUCGCUCCUCUUUUUCAUUUACACAGUGAUGUUGAGGGAUCCCGUUUCUGCGCCAACGGACAGACCCCACCUUGCAAUUCUGGAUCCAGCUCUCAAAGUUAGAUGAAGGCACCACGCGGCUUCCAGGCCUCAAGAUAACAAGGAAAUAUCCAGAAUCGACAUCCUGUGUCACACCUGCACAUUGGAAUCCCAAGCUUCCACAAGCCUGCUGUGCUUCUUCAAGACACAAUGGCUUGCUCUGUUCAGUGGUCUGCCCGAGGAACCGAGUGCCUUUCACUCUCACCCAUCCAUUGCAAUUCCCACUAGGCCCAACUUUACCCUUAUCAUCUUUCUCACCCACCUCAGCUAGCUGAUGAAUGUUAAAUAUUACAGCCUGUAGGUGGCGUUGAGACCCAGAGUUUUGCAUAGAAGGAGAGGAAGGGGUUUGGAAUACUCUUUGAUGGACCAUGUGUGUUGAAUCUCUCUCUUUACCUCUCUUGAUCAGCUCCAGAAUGUCCUGUAGAAAUCCAUGUGUGUCCUUUUGCCCCAACACCGCAUAGAGUUGCAUUACUAGUGCUUGGGCUUCAAACAAACAUCCUGCUGACACCAGCACUGGCACCAUUGCCAACCCUAAUAGCUCCUGAGAGAAACCCUUUCCAAUCCAGCCUCCAUUAGAGAGUUCUGCACAGCUUACAUUGCUUUGAAGAUCCAGCUGACCUUGUAGAGAGGCUGAUAGGUUUGAGACCAACUGAUGGGCAGCGGCAAGAUCAUCUUCUACAACUUGUGAUUCUGCUUGCUCUGUUUGAGGCAUUGAAGUGACAGAAGGCCUCGGGUUGCUUUGAGGGUGGGGAGCUCUGCCAAAUACUACAUCAGACAGUAAGAGGUGGGUGAGAAGUAACCAUCUGAGGUUUGAGUUCCUUUUAGUCAUUUUGACCUGUGGAGACCUGCAACAUCAAGCAAAUCAUGGUUUCUGUGUUGAAUGUUUUGAAGCAAUUGUCCACCAAAUGAUCAUUUACUCAUCUCUGUGUAUUUAUGUAUUUUUUUUCUGUGCAACACAAAAGAAGACAUUUUGAAGAAUGUUGGUAACCAAACAGUUUUGGGUCCCAAUUACUUGUAUUUUUGUCCUUACAAUGGAAAUCAGUGGCACCUGAAACCGUUUGGAUACCAACAUUCUUUAACAUACAUUUUGUGUUCCCUGGAAGAAAGUAAGUCACACAGGUUUAGAACAACAUGAGGGUGAGUAAAUGAUGUUUCAUUUUCAUUUUUGUGUAGACUUUUACAUUUGUGCAUGCAGUGUCCAUGAAGCUGUUUAUGUAUAUACUGUAUCCGCACAAAUAUCUGCAGCUGUAUCUACACCACAGGGGUGAGAAAAUGAGAUAUGUGUAUUUGUGUUUUUUAAAGUGGAAAUGGACAAAAAGACGGAAGGAAGAUGGGAAAGAAAAGGGAUGAGCACUUUUUUUUGUAAGACUCCUCAAUCUAAAAGACUCCUAUAGACACUUCUUCUCUAAACAUACACCAUAUAUUUAACAUAUAAUUCAAGUUAUCGAAACAGAAUAAGUGAAACGUCAACUUUGCUUCUCAUUUAUUCGUUUUUUUAGAAUUUUAUUUCCAUAUUUAAAUGGAGAAAGUGUAUGCAGUUUUUGACUUGGAUUCUACUGUAUUGCAUUUUUAAAUAUAUUUGCAAAUGUAUAAUCCAAUUCUGAUUUACUGUAUGAAUGUUAUUAAAUAGUUUCAAAUUAAAUAUGGAUUAAAUAAAACAAAAACAAAACUUUCAUCAUAAGGUUCUAUAAUGUAAUUUUAAAUACUUUUCUCAAGCAUGCAGUCUGUCAGUUUUUUUAAAAUCUAAAUUACAGAGGAAAUUAUAUCUCCACUCAUUUGCAUGUUACACUUGCUUUGAUUGAUGAUUGAUUAUCAGAUUAAUAUGAGAAUAAUAAGGCUCUUACCUUCUAACAAUCCCGAUAGUACCUCUCUGUUAGAAUCCAGCCUUCACAAAAACAUAUACGUCUCCCUCUCUCUGGUUUUGCCCCCUUCUCUCUCACUGGCCCCAUUGCCCAGUGAUGAAUGUGACAUCACGUGGAGAGGAUCAAUGUGUUCUAUGGGCGUUUUGUUUAUUUACCCUCACGUCCCCUCUCCUCCUCUCAUUUUUCCUCUGCUUUCUCUCUUGAAGACCAUGGAGGGGUGCAGGGGCUUUGUGUUUGACCCAGAUAAAUCGCAGAAUACUCGUUUCAUGCCUGGGAAGACUGUGUGAGAGUGUGCAUGUGUGAGAGAGAGCAGGAUUGUGCACCCGUGCAUACAUUUUUAAUGAAGUGAUUAUAAAAAGAUGGAGGACUUCAUGUUUUGCUUACAGGCCAUUUCCCUCACACAAAGAUCCACUUGGUUCAGUCAAGUUAAACAUUAUUCUUUUGCUCAGACCACAUAUUUGGAUCAAUAUACAACAUCCAACAUCUGCUCAGAGAUCACAGACAGAUAUAUUGCGUAAUCUAAAUCCAAUUUUAAAUAAUUCUGGUGACUAAAGUCUGGUGGUCUGAUUAUUGCAAUGAUUAGUCAAUCAUACUUAAAAAAAGAAAUAAAGUAUACAUAAGUUUUCUGUUGGCUGUUUAAUUCAUGUUAAUAUUUGAAUCAUAAUUAUUUCUUAGUUCAUUUAUAUAAAUAUCUACUUUAUAAAGUAGCUAAACCAUUUAUUUAUUUAUACCAGGCUUAAAUAAGAUAAAUAAACAAAUAAAUAAAUGCUGUGUGUGUGUGUGUGUGUGUGUGUGUGUGUGGCCAUGUUUUUGUGGCAUAUCAGGACACAACUCUGUAUAAUGACCUGGGUAUGACACAGAUAUUACAAGGAGAGGGUGACUUAUGAGGACAUAACCCAUGUCCCCAUUUUUCAAAACGCCUAUAAAUCAUACAGAACGAGUUUUUUUUGUUUUUUGGUUUUUUUUUUGAAAGUAACAAUGCACAAAGUUUCCUGUGAGGGUUAGGGUUAGGUGUAGGGUUGGUGUAGGGCCGUAGAAUAUACAGUUUGUACAGUAUAAAAACUAUUACGCAUAUGGGGUGUCCCCACUUUUCACAAAAAAACCCCUGUGUGUGUGUGUGUGUGUGUGUGUGUGUCAUUGGACUUUGGACCCUGCUAUAUUAUCUUGCCAACAGAGGGCAUCAUUUCACAUAUAAUCAUUUCUCCAUCAUUUCCAACUUAAUGAGACCUUUGAUUGUAAUAGCAUGCAAAUACACUGUAAAAUAAAAACAGGUGAACAGUAAAA